GAUCAUGGCUCAGAUUGAACGCUGGUGGCAUGCUUAACACAUGCAAGUCGAACGGUAACAGAGCUAGCUUGCUAGCUGCUGACGAGUGGCGGACGGGUGAGUAACGCGUAGGAACCUACCUACUGAGGGGGAUACCAUCUGGAAACGGAUGCUAAUACCGCAUAAUACCUAAGGGUUAAAGGUGGCCUUUGUGCUGCCGCCAGCUGAUGAGCCUGCGUUGGAUUAGCUAGUUGGUGAGGUAAGGGCUCACCAAGGCUACGAUCCAUAGCUGAUUUGAGAGGAUGAUCAGCCACACUGGGACUGAGACACGGCCCAGACUCCUACGGGAGGCAGCAGUGGGGAAUCUUGGACAAUGGGCGCAAGCCUGAUCCAGCCAUGCCGCGUGAGUGAAGAAGGCCUUCGGGUUGUAAAGCUCUUUUGUCAGGGACGAUAAUGACGGUACCUGAAGAAUAAGCCCCGGCAAACUUCGUG
rnacentral:rRNA from 1 species